rnacentral:misc_RNA from 1 species
AACGCACAUUGCGCCCGCCGGUAUUCUGGCGGGCAUGCCUGUUCGAGCGUCAUUUCAACCCCUCAUGCCCCUCUCGGGGCGUGGCGUUGGGGACCGGCCCCGCCACAGCGGCGGCCGCCCCCGAAAUCCAGUGGCGGCCACGCCGCGGCUCCCUCUGCGCAGUAGCAAUCGCCUCGCAGCCUGGGACGCGGCGCGGCCACGCCUCGACUCAAAAUCAUCUCGUGGUUGACCUCGGAUCAGGUAGGAAUACCCGCUGAACUUAA